GGUGGCUCAGUGAUAGAGUGCUUGCCUUGCAUGCAUGAGGCCCUAGGUUUGAUUCUCAGCACCA
rfam:Dipodomys ordii contig_50606, whole genome shotgun sequence.